CUGGAGGACGGGCAAAUAGUAGUACCAGAAGGACUGGCAGGUGGGAGCCCUUUUUAAGCCAGAGAGAGCGAGAGAGCAAACUCCUGCAGGAGGAGAAGAAAGCUGGGUACUCAGUGAGCUGUGGUUCUUGUGUAAGGAAAGGAGCUAUCCUGAGUCUCUGAAGAAGGAAGUGCAAAUUGUGUAUGUUGUCAUUGAAAUGCAGACCAGACUGGAUUUCUCCCAGAUGCCUAGUCUCAACAUUUGGGAAUACGGACAUUUUCUCCUUCAAUGCAAAGGGAAGGAAAAUCUAAAGGUCAGGAACAAAAGUAGAAGAAGGAAUCUUCUGGUUCGCUGUAUGCUGAAGAUCCUUUUUUCUUACAAAACAAUA